AUGAAUGAUACAUACGUAUUAGGGGUAGUAGAUCUGUGUAAGUGAGAGUCAGUAGUAAUAUCCAAAUUAACAAAUAAAUAGUACAGAAGUGGAAAGAUCUAUAUGAUCUCUCUCAGCAGGAUCUCAAAUCUCUCACCACCCUAUUUCUUUUUUUUUUUUAACUUAAAUUUUUGUCAACCUUACCUCUUCUUAUUUUUAUUUUUUAUGUACGUUCAUUAACUUCUUUUUUGUUUGGGUUUGUCUAUUGACAUUGACACGUUUUAAUGCUUUUGAUUUAUACGGAGGGAGAUACAUAAUGAGGGAAUCAGGAUAAGCCGAUGUUAUUUGUAAGGUCACGAGGCCAUACCAUCACGAUCAAACAAUCUGUAGCAUUUUUAGAAUGGCCAUCCAAUUAUAACCGAGAUGUUGAAGUUUCGGUGGUCCAGUUACCCCCGGUUGUUAAAUCUUUGGCCGAACCGAACCAUCUAAAAAUCAAACCAACUUGUAUACACCAUAUCAUGCAUAGACGACUGUAAAAAAAAAAGAAUCCGGAAUAAAAAAACAAACUGACUUAAAGUCUGAAACUGUACGUCCUAUAUAUAUAUGAAAUAAAUAAUGCAUUUGUAAUCAAAGAAAAACAAAAACAAAAACAAAAACAAAAAGUCAGAAACUACUACAAAUGAAAGUUUAAUAAUGUAACAGAAAAGUAGAUCUUGUCUGAAUUAGGUUCAACAUAUAAUUCCUAUAAACGGAAAAUUCAUGAACCCAACGAGGACAUGAUAAUCAGAUUUUAAAGACCCCUAGAUCUAGUUAUAUAUAUAGUACUUGAUCAAUAUGGGUUAAAAGUUCUCAAGUAUACUCUCAGACAAGAAAAAAUAGGAUAUUCACAAAUACUGUAAUGAAAUUUUUACCACUUUAGUUGUUGUUGAGGGAAAGAUUCUCACAUAUAGUUUCGAGGCAUAAGACACGAUGGCCCUACAUCACAGGUUGAUUACAAGGAACGAACAUUGUAGAAACAAAGAUCAACUGUUACAUGUUGGUAACUAAAGAAAAACGAACCUAAGUGAUAAGAAUGAAUGUGUUUUUUUUUUUGGGGGCAAAUCCACGUAUAGUCCUCAAAUUUGUUGCAUAUGCAUAGGAUUCCAAAUCAUUUCUGUUUGUUUGUUUCGUUUCGACUUUGUUUUAAAGUUUCAAUUAUUUAUA
rnacentral:lncRNA from 1 species